UCCACUAAUAAGAACAGGAAGAUGGUCCGCCUCCACUCGUCGGACGGUGAGGAGUUCGAGGUGGCGGAGGAGGCCAUCGGCGGCGCGUCGGCGAUCAUCAAGGGCAUGCUGGAGGAGGAGGAGGACUCGAUGGUGGCCACCAACAAGGUGAUCCCGCUGCCCGUCACCGGCCCCAUCCUCUCGCGCGUGCUCGAGUACGUCAACCGGCACUCCGACGAGGACGGCGCCCUGUACCGCGACGCCCCCACCGCCGACGACCCCCUGCGGCGCUUCGACGACCAGUUUGUGCAGGUGGACCAGGACACGCUCUUCGACCUCAUGGCGGCGGCCAACUAUCUGGAGAUGCAGGGGCUCCUGGACCUCACAUGCCGGACGGUGGCGGACCAGAUGCUGGGCAAGACCACCGACGAGAUCCGCACGCACUUCUACAUCCACAAUGACUACACCGCCGACGAGGAGGAGGAGGUCCGUAGGGAGAACUCGUGGUGCUGGGAGUAG
rnacentral:rRNA from 1 species